AUAUUACAGAUAAGAAAGAUGAAAGGCCAGAUCCAUCUACAUUGCCUCCUUUAUCUAUAUCUUUUUGUUACACAAUUUCUGUUACGAGCCCACAA